AGCAGAGAAGAGAUGUUCUAACUGUGCUCUCUCUCUCUCUCUUGAGCUUGGCCGUACGUGCGGAGGAGGAGAUCGGGUGGUGUUGGAGUUUUGCCGACGUCGCGCCGCGGUGCCGUUCGAGUGUACGUUCGUCGUCGUAGUAUCGCGAGGAGGCCGGGCGAGGGUGCGAUUCCACCGUUCUCGAUGUCGUGCCGGAUUGGGAUUAGCUAUCGAGGUGGGUUAAACGUCGGUUUAGCUUCUAAGUGCAUUUAUAUAGUCGACAUGUGUGUGAGGUAGUAUGUUGUAUAUUGCAAUUGCUCAAUUUGUCGAUUUAGUAUAGUUGUUCAUAAAAUCUGAAUUGGAGCCUUGUCGUUUGCCUAUAUCUACUUGCACAUGUCGGACUUGGAUAUGACUUAGGAGAAAACCUGCGAUUCAAACCUAUCAUAUGUUUAAACUAUCUGAUUUAGCUCUAGGAGCCGUUGUUAUUUUGUAUCGCCGCAGUAUCAGUGUGGUGGAUACCCCAGAAAGUUUAGAUUUCAGUUACGCUCGUGCUGGGAUGCCGAGUGUAUUUUUACAGUAGCGUUCAGAUUGUUCCGGACUGUUGGGUGUCGUCGGGGUUGAAGGUGGACCCAUAUCGCCGUUUUGGCGUCAGAUUGUGCCGAGAUCACGUGACCUGUUGGUUGUUAGACCAGUUGGACCAUAUUACUUGACUUUAGCUUGUGAGAGCCUGAUUGAGCUCGACAG
rnacentral:lncRNA from 1 species